CCUAUGUGUGCAGAGGUGGAUGGGCAGUGGUUGAGCAAGAGAACUUGGAAAUAGUCAACAAUUCCUUCUUUAUGUUCACUACAAUAGCUGCAAAUUAGCUUGGGUAACCUGUCUCUAACCUAGGAGUGGUCUUUUGCAGGAGAUUCAACUACUGUGCUCCUAUUCUUUGGGUAAAAUAAGCACAAAUAUGCCAUACAGGUGCUUUCUAAAUACAUUACUAAAAUGACAAUAUGUUAUUUAUCAAUUUUUUUAUUUGAUCCCUUUAUAAUUUAGAAAAUAUAGAUAAGUGGAUGUUCAUUAGAGAUUCACUUUAUCAGCCAACACGUCUUAUACAUAUGGUCAAUAAUGGGCCAGCUUAUCCAUUUUUCAGUUUAGUGUUUUCUGUAUCUUUUUUCCAANNNNNNNNNNNNNNNNNNNNNNNNNNNNNNNNNNNNNNNNNNNNNNNNNNNNNNNNNNNNNNNNNNNNNNNNNNNNNNNNNNNNNNNNNNNNNNNNNNNCAGCUUAUCCAUUUUUCAGUUUAGUGUUUUCUGUAUCUUUUUUCCAAAAUAUAUACCUUUUUCUGUAGCAUAGGCAGCCCCUUUCCUCAAUACCAUUCCUAGUUUGAAUUUCUCCCCUCAUUGUAUACUUUUGGUCAUGUGAGUGGGAAAGCAGAAUGAAAAGAAAGAUGUGCAUAAAGAUGAAACCGUGUCCUCACUUCCCAAAAUUUCCUCAUAGGUACAUGUUGCCUUUGACUUCACCCUGAGGACACUUGGCCAAGGAAAUCAAUGAGAAAAGUUGCCCCAUGUAGAUUUCAUAUAAACCUAAGGAAAAGAGAGAGACAGCUACACAAACCUACUGAGGCUGAAGCCAGUCAACCAAGCAUAGUCUGUGAUGUUCCAUUUGUACUAAAUGAGGUCAUCUCUGAACCCCAUAAGUCAUCGAGAAAAGACCAUGGCUGCUAGCUUGGACCAAUCAAAAUCUGUACCUGGAUUAGAUGGACUGUGUGUUUUCAGCCACUUUCUGCUAGCUUGGAGCAAAUGCGUGGACAUUCUCCUUUGGAGACAGGCUAUGGAUGGAGUCAAAGAACUUAAGAUGAAGAGUUUCUGCAAAAAUACAGCCGAGAGGGUCUUGCACUUCUCAGAAUCUGUCCUGUAGAGAAACUCAGGAAUGUGCAAGGAUAAACUGACAAGGAAGUUAAACAAGUGCUAGCCCACCCAUGUUCAAGACUAUGUGAUUAUUAAUGGUGCAGAUCUAUGUAUUGAUAAGGAGAAUCUCUAUGAUGUAUUUUUUAUUUGAAAAUAAAAUUUAAAAAAAAUUGUUGUAGCUUAUAGUCUUAUUUAAAUAAAAUAGAGAUAAAAUGUUCAUAAGUGGAUGAAUGUUUAGAUUGAGAACUUUAGGGUACCCACCAGGUGUGAUUGGCUUUUGAGUGGAGGAGUAAUGAAAUGGAUAAAAAGAAUAGCUGAUAUUGAUGAAGCUCUUAUAUGUACCAGGCACUAUUCUAAAUUGUACAGUCAUAAAGUGAUCCCUAUCAUAACUCUUUUACAGAGGUCCUACUGUUUUUUCCAUUUAACAGAGAUGAGGUAAAGAGAAUUGAAAUCGCAUGUCUGGAGUUAAAACAGAAAAUUAUCCUAAAGAGGUGAAAACAGGGUACAAGUUCAUUUAGUCGGACUAUGUAGAGUCUUACCUAAGUCACUGCAUCAUACGGGGUAAACUGGGCAUUCACUUCAGAAAUACUUUUUUCAAUUUUGNNNNNNUCUAUGAGGUUUGAAUAUCUUCAUCAAACACAUAUUACUUAAUAACUCUAAUACAAUGCAUUUGCAAAAUGAAAUUAUAUAUGUGAAAGCACUUUUUUAUAGCCUGUCACUUGCUGUACUUACAGAAAUUCAAAGCUUUAAGAGAGGCUCAUUAUAUUAAAACAAAAAAAAAAAGUUGGCUCACACAUCAAUACCUCUUUAUUCCGUCUUUGCUAGGAUAAGGGAAGUCAAAAAUAAGUCAGUUGCAUCCCCAGUUUUACUUGCAUUUUCUUCAUAAUGCGGCUCAUGAUUGCUUUGCAGAUGCACUCUGAUUAUCAAAUUGUGCCUCCUUCUAAACGCACUCGUGUCAAUUGCACAUCAGACAAUAACUAGCAAGUGGUGUCAGCGCCCCAUCGUCAGAGCUACUGUCUGCCACAAAGCAUCUGGGCCAAGAAUAAGAAUGACAAGUGUAUACAUUUCCAGCUUUGCAAUCAACAUGGAAAUUAGUCAGCUUAUAGAUGCUGAGUGGUCUUAUAGAGAGGGCCCCAGCUGCAGACAAAAUGCCAAACUGAUGCUGAUAAACAGAGCAGAGACAUUUAGCAGCUUUUCUUUUCAGCUGCUUGAAGUUUGAAAGCCUUGGUGGUAGGGCGGGGCUGGCAGGAGUUGCUGAAUUAUUUCAGAACUGGAGGGGGUCUUCAAGGAGGAUUGUUCUGUGAGGAUCCUGAGGCUCAGGAAGGGACUAAUGGGAGAUCACGUGGCAAAGUAGGAGAGGGGGGAAGUGAGGUGUGAGCCCAGCAUAAGGGUGCAGCCCUUGGCAUUUUCUUUGUUUUUUUUGCAUCAUUGAAUUCAUA
ensembl:lncRNA